CCUACGGGCGGUAGCAGUGGGGAAUAUUGCACAAUGGGGGAAACCCUGAUGCAGCGACGCCGCGUGAGUGAAGAAGUAAUUCGUUAUGUAAAGCUCUAUCAGCAGGGAAGAAAAUGACGGUACCUGAGUAAGAAGCCCCGGCUAACUACGUGCCAGAAGCCGCGGUAAUACGUAGGGGGCAAGCGUUAUCCGGAUUUACUGGGUGGAAAGGGAGCGUAGACGGCAGUGCAAGUCUGGAGUGAAAGGCGGGGGCUCAACCCCCGGACUGCUCUGGAAACUGUACGGCUGGAGUGCAGGAGAGGUAAGUGGAAUUCCUAGUGUAGCGGUGAAAUGCGUAGAUAUUAGGAGGAACACCAGUGGCGAAGGCGGCUUACUGGACUGUAACUGACGUUGAGGCUCGAAAGCGUGGGGAGCAAACAGGAUUAGAUACCCCAGUAGUC
rnacentral:rRNA from 1 species